rnacentral:lncRNA from 1 species
CUUAUCUUCUACAAACUCCUUGAAGACUGAGUUUAAAUUUGCCCUUGAGAUUGCUUCACUUUAAUGGUGAGAUCCAUGUGUAAUGUUUGUAUCUCUUCCAAUACAAGAGGCUUGAAGUGCAGAUGACAGCAGCUAGCUGACCUUAGCAGAGCUUGAAAAAAUAUGUAGGAAGGUUGAUAAACAUUAUUUAAGACAUUUACAAC